rnacentral:tRNA from 1 species
GGGCGAAUAUUCAAGUGGCUAAAGAAGUGGAACUGCAACUUCCAUAUCGUGAGUUCAAAUCUCACUUCGCCCUCCA